ACCCAGACUCCUACGGGAGGCAGCAGUGGGGGAUAUUGCACAAUGGGGGAAACCCUGAUGCAGCGACGCCGCGUGAGUGAAGAAGUAAUUCGUUACGUAAAGCUCUAUCAGCAGGGAAGAAAAUGACGGUACCUGACUAAGAAGCCCCGGCUAACUACGUGCCAGCAGCCGCGGUAAUACGUAGGGGGCAAGCGUUAUCCGGAUUUACUGGGUGUAAAGGGAGCGUAGACGGCAGUGCAAGUCUGGAGUGAAAGGCGGGGGCUCAACCCCCGGACUGCACUGGAAACUGCCGGGCUGGAGUGUCGGAGGGGCAGGCGGAAUUCCUAGUGUAGCGGUGAAAUGCGUAGAUAUUAGGAGGAACACCGGUGGCGAAGGCGGCCUGCUGGACGACGACUGACGCUGAGGCUCGAAAGCGUGGGGAGCAAACAGGAUUAGAUACCCUCGUA
rnacentral:rRNA from 1 species